rnacentral:rRNA from 1 species
UGUUCCCUACGGGGGGCAGCAGUGAGGAAUAUUGGUCAAUGGCCGAGAGGCUGAACCAGCCAAGUCGCGUGAGGGAUGACGGCCCUACGGGUUGUAAACCUCUUUUGUCGGGGAACAAAGGCGCCCACGGGUGGGCGGAUGAGUGUACCCGAAGAAAAAGCAUCGGCUAACUCCGUGCCAGCAGCCGCGGUAAUACGGAGGAUGCGAGCGUUAUCCGGAUUUAUUGGGUUUAAAGGGUGCGUAGGCGGACGGUCAAGUCAGCGGUAAAAAUGCGGUGCUCAACGCCGUACAGCCGUUGAAACUGG